rnacentral:rRNA from 1 species
UACGAAGGGGGCUAGCGUUGUUCGGAAUCACUGGGCGUAAAGGGCGCGUAGGCGGCUGUUCAAGUCGGGGGUGAAAGCCUGUGGCUCAACCACAGAAUUGCCUUCGAUACUGGACGGCUCGAGACCGGAAGAGGUCAGUGGAACUGCGAGUGUAGAGGUGAAAUUCGUAGAUAUUCGGAAGAACACCAGUGGCGAAGGCGACACACUGGCUCAUCACUGACGCUGAGGCGCGAAAGCGUGGGGAGCAAACAGG